ACACUCCUGCGGGAGGCAGCAGUGGGGAAUUUUGGACAAUGGGCGAAAGCCUGAUCCAGCAAUGCCGCGUGAGUGAAGAAGGCCUUCGGGUUGUAAAGCUCUUUUGUCAGGGAAGAAACGGUGAAAGCUAAUAUCUUUUGCUAAUGACGGUACCUGAAGAAUAAGCACCGGCUAACUACGUGCCAGCAGCCGCGGUAAUACGUAGGGUGCAAGCGUUAAUCGGAAUUACUGGGCGUAAAGCGUGCGCAGGCGGUUUUGUAAGUCUGAUGUGAAAUCCCCGGGCUCACCCUGGGAAUUGCAUUGGAGACUGCAAGGCUAGAAUCUGGCAGAGGGGGGUAGAAUUCCACGUGUAGCAGUGAAAUGCGUAGAUAUGUGGAGGAACACCGAUGGCGAAGGCAGCCCCCUGGGUCAAGAUUGACGCUCAUGCACGAAAGCGUGGGGAGCAAACAGGAUUAGAAACCCUGGUAGUCCCA
rnacentral:rRNA from 1 species